rnacentral:lncRNA from 1 species
AAUAAUAUAAGGGAUCAUUUGAGAAAAAUGUUUUAGUGAGCAAAGAUUGAAGAGCAAAAGAUUAGGUCAAUAUCAAGUUCAUGAACAUGGUACAUUACUUUCACUCUAUUCUUCAUUUUAAUUUGUUGAUUACUUUGCUCUUCAUAUUUUUAAUUUACUAAUUCACUUUGUUUUUUUUACAGCGCACAAAAUCAAUCUAAUAUAAGGGAGCAUUUGAGAAAAAUAUUUUAGUGAGCAAAGAUUAAAGAGCAAAAGAAUAAGUCAAUAUCAAAUUCAUGAAUAUGGUGUACGCCGGAUGAAAAAGAGAAAAAUGUCAUAGAAUAAGGCCAAUGUCAUGUCUAUGAAAGCUAGCCUGCACUUCAUUCUUUGAACGAGUGAGCAG